rnacentral:misc_RNA from 1 species
AACAUACCUAAACGUUGCUUCGGCGGGAACAGACGGCCCCGUGAAACGGGCCGCCCCCGCCAGAGGACCCCUAACUCUGUUUCUAUAAUGUUUCUUCUGAGUAAAACAAGCAAAUAAAUUAAAACUUUCAACAACGGAUCUCUUGGCUCUGGCAUCGAUGAAGAACGCAGCGAAAUGCGAUAAGUAAUGUGAAUUGCAGAAUUCAGUGAAUCAUCGAAUCUUUGAACGCACAUUGCGCCCGCCAGUAUUCUGGCGGGCAUGCCUGUUCGAGCGUCAUUACAACCCUCAGGCCCCCGGGCCUGGCGUUGGGGAUCGGCGGAGCCCCCCGGGGACACGCCGUCCCCCAAAUACAGUGGCGGUCCCGCCGCAGCUUCCAUCGCGUAGUAGCUAACACCUCGCGACUGGAGAGCGGCGCGGCCACGCCGUAAAACACCCAACUCUUCUGAA